rnacentral:rRNA from 1 species
GACGAACGCUGGCGGCGUGCCUAAUACAUGCAAGUUGAGCGCUGAAGGUUGGUACUUGUACCAACUGGAUGAGCAGCGCACGGGUGAGUAACGCGUGGGGAAUCUGCCUUUGAGCGGGGGACAACAUUUGGAAACGAAUGCUAAUACCGCAUAAAAACUUUAAACACAAGUUUUAAGUUUGAAAGAUGCAAUUGCAUCACUCAAAGAUGAUCCCGCGUUGUAUUAGCUAGUUGGUGAGGUAAAGGCUCACCAAGGCGAUGAUACAUAGCCGACCUGAGAGGGUGAUCGGCCACAUUGGGACUGAGACACGGCCCAAACUCCUACGGGAGGCAGCAGUAGGGAAUCUUCGGCAAUGGACGAAAGUCUGACCGAGCAACGCCGCGUGAGUGAAGAAGGUUUUCGGAUCGUAAAACUCUGUUGGUAGAGAAGAACGUUGGUGAGAGUGGAAAGCGCAUCAAGUGACGGUAACUACCCAGAAAGGGACGGCAAACUACGU